rnacentral:misc_RNA from 1 species
AGAACAGAGGCGAUAAUGAGAGGUAGUAGUAGGAGAUACAAGGUGAGAUAGAGUACUGAGAGCAACAUGCUUGGAAGAUGAGCCGACAAAUUUGCGAAGUAAGUGGCGGGUAGCGGAGAUAUCGUCGGAGUCGGUGGCGAUAAGGGUGGAGAGAAAGCGGUGGCCUUGUUUGCUCAAUGAGCACCGAGGGCCUGGCCGUGGACGGCGGUUCCAGAGGCUUAGCCGAUGACUUAACAGUUGUGCCGGCGCCGGAAGUAGGAUACCUCCGAUCAUCUCAAGAGAUGACGAAUUAAUCAACCAAUUACUAUCUUCCUAUUCCUAUCACUAUUUUACUCCAAUUUUA